rnacentral:lncRNA from 1 species
CACUAGAGAAUGUGAUUUUUCCUGAACAACUGCAUACUUCCUAGUAUGCCUUUUGGUAAACUACCCACGUUUCCCACAAUAUGUACCUGAUAUGGAGAGGGAAAAAAGCAAACCAUGGCGGUCUAAGCAGCUUAGAUUUGAUAAAAAUAAUAAGAGUGGUUCCUUCAGUUCAUUUUCCAAACCCUUCUGCCAGAACAAGCUGGUUCUUCUGGGAAGACGGAACUGCCUACGGCCAUAUGCACCCAUCUGUUCUUCUCUGCAAAAAUGUCUUGGCCUUUUCCACACAGAGCCAGUGGGUGGUGGGGGUGACCACUGCAGGUGGACAGGCCAGAUUGCAAGAGCCCCCAUUCUAGAGAGGGUCCUGUCCCAUACCCAGAAGGAAGGAAUGCUGCACAGAGGCCAAGAAGAAUCCAGACAGACAGGCCUUGCCGGGCUUCCCCGCUCAGUCUGUUUGUUUUAGACCAUGCCUUCUUUGUCCAGUCAUAUUUCUACAAGCCUGACCAUACUUUGCUGAACCAAAGCAUGAACAUGGACAGUUUGCUCUAUAUCUUUGGGUCUUCAUCCUGAAGGAUCCUGUGUCAC